CGGCUUUGUAGCAAGCUUGUUAAUAAGUUGUGACAAUGCUGUUCCAACAACUUGUCAACAAGAUUUUUCUCAACGGGUUUGUAGCAAGCUUGUUAACAAGUUGUGACAAUGCUGUUCCAACAACUUACCAACAAGAUUUAUCCUCAACAGGCUUGUAGCAAGCUUGUUAACAAGUUGUAACAAUGCUGUUCCAACAACUUGUCAACAAGAUUUAUCCUGAACAGGCUUGUAGCAAGCUUGUUAACAAGUUGUGACAAUGCUGUUCCAACAACUUGCUAAUAAGAUUUAUCCUCAACAGGCUUGUAGCAAGCUUGUUAACAAGUUGUGACAAUGCUGUUCCAACAACUUACCAACACGAUUUAUCCUCAACAGGCUUGUAGCAAGCUUGUUAACAAGUUGUGACAAUGCUGUUCCAACAACUUGCCAACAAGAUUUAUCCUCAACAGGCUUGUAGCAAACUUGUUAGCAAGUUGUAACAAUGCUGUUCCAACAACUUGUCAACAAGAUUUAUCCUCAACAGGCUUGUAGCAAGCUUGUUAACAAGUUGUGACAAUGCUGUUCCAACAACUUGUCAACAAGAUUUAUCCUCAACAGGCUUGUAGCAAGCUUGUUAACAAGUUGUGACAAUGCGGUUCCAACAACUUGCCAACAAGAUUUAUCCUCAACAGGCUUGUAGCAAGCUUGUUAACAAGUUGUGACAAUGCUGUUCCAAAAACUUGUCAACAAGAUUUAUCCCCAACAGGCUUGUAGCAAGCUUGUUAACAAGUUGUAACAAUGCUGUUCCAACAACUUCUCAACAAGAUUUAUCCUCAACAGGCUUGUAGCAAGCUUGUUAACAAGUUGUGACAAUGCUGUUCCAACAACUUCUCAACAAGAUUUAUCCUCAACAGGCUUGUAGCAAGCUUGUUAACAAGUUAUGACAAUGCUGUUCCAACAACUUGUCAACAAGAUUUAUCCUCAACAGGCUUGUAGCAAGCUUGUUAACAAGUUGUGACAAUGCUG